rnacentral:rRNA from 1 species
GCUCAGAAACUCAAAGGAAUUGACGGGGCCGCACAAGCGGAGGAACAUGUGGUUUAAGUUCGAUGAUACGCGAGGAACCUUACCUGGGCUUAAAGUGGGGAGGUGACAGCUGUCGAAAGAUGGUUUUCUUCGGACACUCUUCAAGGUGCUGCAUGGUUGUCGUCAGCUCGUGCCGUGAGGUGUCGGGUUAAGUCCCAUAACGAGCGCAACCCUUACCGUUAGUUACCAUCAGGUUAAGCUGGGGACUCUAGCGGGACUGCCACCGUAAGGUGAGAGGAAGGUGGGGAUGACGUCAAAUCAGCACGGCCCUUAUGUCCAGGGCUACACACGUGUUACAAUGGCCGGUACAAAGGGCAGCUACUUCGCGAGAAGAUGCUAAUCUCGAAAGCCGGUCUCAGUUCGGAUCGAAGUCUGCAACCCGACUUCGUGAAGCUGGAUUCGCUAGUAAUCGCGCAUCAGCCAUGGCGCGGUGAAUACGUUCCCGGGCCUU